AGUCUCAGCCGAAGUGGUUCUGUAUCAGCAAAUACAAACUCUUUAAGCAUCCAUUUUUUAAACUCUGUAACUCAUGGUACCUCCUUUCUUUCCUGCAGCCUUGGACACUGCAGCUGUAUGCCAAGCUUUUCUUGGAAAGUGCGUUGGGAGGCUAAGAAAACUAUUUGUGUGUGUAAAGCAGCAAGGUCGAGGCAGUUGAGGCUGCAAGUGGAGCAGGCCUAACUAAUCCAUCAGCGAUAGCCCGCUCUGACAUCCAUUAUUAAUGGGCAGAGUGGGACCACAGGGAGGGGAUGAGAGACAUGAUGAC